CCCUUAGAUGUUCUGGGCCGCACGCGCGCUACACUGAUGAAUGCAACGAGCUCUACCCUUGACCGAAAGGCCCGGGUAAACUUGUGAAACUUCAUCGUGAUGGGGAUAGAUUAUUGCAAUUAUUAAUCUUCAACGAGGAAUUCCUAGUAAGCGCGAGUCAUCAGCUCGCGUUGAUUACGUCCCCGCCCUUUGUACACACCGCCCGUCGCUCCUACCGAUUGAAUGGUCCGGUGAAAUCUUCGGAUUGCUGACCAAGAUCCAGCAAUGGAGCUUGGUUGCGAGAAGUUGAUUAAACCUUAUUAUUUAGAGGAAGGAGAAGUCGUAACA
rnacentral:rRNA from 1 species